rnacentral:lncRNA from 1 species
GAGGCACCUUGAUUAGCCCAGUGUGUGUGUGGGGGGGGGGAUGGUUAAUGAGAGCCCGCUAAUUAAUCAGGAGGCUCCGGGGGGGGGCACCUUGAUGAGCCAUGGUUUCUUGAUGACCUGGGGGGGAGCUAAUGAGAGCCUGCUAAUUAAUAAACUAAUUGGGGUGCUCCGGGGGGGGGGCACCUCGAUGAGCCGCAGUUUCUCAAUGAUCUGGGGAGCUAAUGAGAGCCCACUAAUUAAUGAAUGAAUGCAUUAAUUGGGGGGCUCCGGGGGGGGGCACCUCGAUGAGCCACGGUUUCUUGAUGAUCUGCAGGGCUAAUGAGAGCCCCCUAAUGAAUGAACGAACUAAUUGGGGGGCUCCAGGGGGGGACACCUCGAUGAGCCGCGGUUUCUCGAUGAUCUGCAGGGCUAAUGAGAGCCCACUAAUGAAGGAACGAACUAAUUGGGGGGCUCCGGGGGGGGCACCUCGAUGAGCCGCGGUUUCUCGAUGACCCUGGCGCCGCGGGGCCCUCGCUCCACGAUGCCGACGAUCCAGGCCGGGCGGCCCCCGGAGCGCGAGCGCAGCUCGGAGCAGAAGCGUGCCGCCUGCUCGCGGGGCAGGCACAGCAGCAGGCCGCCUAAUUAAGGAACAGUUCGUUAGCGGGGCUCGUUAGCGAGGGGCCGUCGGUUGGCUCGUCGGCGGUGAGAAGGAAGGAGCGGGAGCGGGGGAGGUUUGGGGGUGAGGGGUGUGGAAGGGGUGGAGAGGGGGCGUGGGGGGUAAUUAGCGGGGUGUGGUAAUUAAUGAGGGAUCUUCAUGAAUAGAGGAAGGUCCUAAUGAGGCGGGGUCCUAAUUAUGGCCCCCCCCCCCC